AUGAGAGGGCGGUCCCUUUGGCUUCCAAACCCUGUGGAAGGAUCUUCACGUACAUUGCGUGAUUCAUUCCUAACAGAGCCAAACACAUGCCAAGGAAGCUUGCCCUGGACCCUGAGGAUGCUUGGGGCCGGACCAGUGCUGCCCCUGCUGCCUGGAGACUGGCCACCAGGAGCAAAACUACAUCAAAAGGAACGUGUUGGGGACAACGUGGAGAGCCUUCAUCAGCUUCUCAAACAAGACGGUAAAGAGACGUGCGGUUGCUCUAUCUUCACAUCCCUGGAACCUAAAAGCUUCUCAAGUACCCAACCAGAGACAAU
rnacentral:lncRNA from 1 species